rnacentral:rRNA from 1 species
UAAAACGUAGGAGACGAGCGUUAUCCGGAUUUACUGGGCGUAAAGCGCGUGCAGGCGGCAUGGCAAGUUGGAUGUGAAAGCUCCCGGCUUAACUGGGAGAGGUCGUUCAAUACUGCCAGGCUUGAGAGUGGUAGAGGGAAGCGGAAUUCCGGGUGUAGUGGUGAAAUGCGUAGAUAUCCGGAGGAACACCAGUGGCGAAAGCGGCUUCCUGGCCCAUUUCUGACGCUCAGACGCGAAAGCUAGGGUAGCAAACGGGAUUAGAGACCCCGGUAGUCCUAGCCGUAAACGAUGUGAACUUGGCGUUGGCGGGUUUAAAUCCGUCAGUGCCGUAGCUAACGCGAUAAGUUCACCGCCUGGGGACUACGGCCGCAAGGUUAAAACUCAAAGGAAUUGACGG